rnacentral:rRNA from 1 species
UACUUAGUGGCGGACGGGUGAGUAACGCGUGGGUAACCUGCCUUACACUGGGGGAUAACACUUAGAAAUAGGUGCUAAUACCGCAUAAGCGCACGAAGCCGCAUGGAUUUGUGUGAAAAACUCCGGUGGUGUAAGAUGGACCCGCGUCUGAUUAGCUUGUUGGCGGGGUAACGGCCCACCAAGGCGACGAUCAGUAGCCGGCCUGAGAGGGUGGACGGCCACAUUGGGACUGAGACACGGCCCAAACUCCUACGGGAGGCAGCAG